GGCCCGGCUCGGAGGGGACGGAGCGCCGCGUACUGACCUGGGCUGCGGGCGAGGCGAGGACGCUGCGCGGCGAUGGCCCCCCCGGCGCGGAGCGCGCCACCGACGGACUCAGCCCGUGACGGAGCCCCUGGAUCCCUGCAAGUGUCCAAGGCCAGGCUGGACAGUGGAAAGGAGAUUUCCUGCUAAGCUUCCAAGGAGUUUCUUCCCAUCCUUGCUUAAGGGAAGCUGAAACAUGACAUUCCUUAUUCGCAGGCAGCCAUCCCAGCGCGCUUCUGGCUCCCAGGAAAUUUCCCUGGAAUGCACGCCUGAGAGCACCACUGGCAUUAAGAGCACCUCUUCUGCCUGAAGCCGAAGCCUUUUUUGUUCAUUUUGCAGCCCUUUUUUGUUCAUUUGCAGCCUCUUUGGGCUCGUUUGUUGCUCUUUGGCUGCUGAGGUUUUGCAGAGUUGUUCUGCCCUCUUUGCUGAGGCCAGCCCUGCGCUGGGAUGGAUGGGGGAGUCUGUGUAUCAAUACCCUCAGGAAUUAUUUCUGAGUGCCAAGAGAGCUGUGGGUGAAGGCUGUCAGGGCCAGAGGGUUUCCAAGGCAGGGCAGUAUUUGCCAAGGCAACAGGUCUGCUUGCUGGUGGCUGGAGCAGGGCACCAGGUUGGGGGUCUGUCCUCCCCUGUAGUCUCCAUUUCUGCUCCAGCCAGGGGGGGAUUUGGUCCCAAACCCUUUAAACGUGGGUUCCAACCAGCCCAGCUGCCUUCCCUGGCUGCACUGCUGGAGCAGUUUGGAAACAGGAAACGAGAGGAGAGAACUGUGCCCUGGAAGUUGCCAUGGAGUGUAAGUUCUACCUUCAGGUUUUGAUUGAUGCUGUACCUGUGGCUGUGGGUGUGAGUACGUGUCUCUAUUAAUACCCAGUCUAGGCUAACCUGUGCAUAAUGGCAGAAAAUUAAACCUUUGUCGUUGCUCGUGGAAAUUAGCCCUCAGAGAUUCACAAGGGAAAGGCUUCUUGCUAUAUGUUAAAUCCAACAUAUUGGCUAUAGCUGUAUAUAGUCUGUUUUUACUGUAUUUGCAGCUGAAAAACUUACUCAGAAGCCUGUUGAAGCAAAAAAUAAAAAUCUAAAAUAAAAACCAACACCCUGGCAGAGCUAAUUCAUAAAGAUUUAAAUAAAAAGCAAUUACAGAACUUCCCGCCUACCUCCACCUCAUCUUUAGCUGAACUCCUUGUUUGUCAGGAAUGAUUCCAUUUUUUAUGUUCUCAAGCAGGAAACAGCCAUCACAACACUCCAGCUAAUUUCCCUCGCUAGUCACAGGGAGCUGCUGAAAGUAAAAGAGGAUGCUUCAGCUUUCCACUCCAACCCUGCCAUUCCACAGGCUAAAAAAAAGGAGGAUAGAGUUAGGAAGAGAGCCAGCAGGAACUUCCUCUGGAGCCUAGGCACCAAAGAUCUACUCCAAGUCACAGUGCCACUUGGGUCCUUGGAGGAAGUCAAGCCUAGGCACAAUUUCCAACCUGGUGAUGGCUCCUCUUCUUCCUCCUGAUCAUUCAGGCUGACCUUCCUUGGUUUUCCUGUCCCUCCAUCACCCUUUUGUGCUUUAUCUCCCAUUCCCUGUUCUCCAUCUGUCCCACAGUACACUGGUUUACUCCUUUUUGCCAUCAAAAGGAAAACCCCAUCAAACCCACACAGCUUACAAAACAGCUCUGAUGGGAGAAGGAAUAUUAAAUUUACGUUGCCCCCUCCUGUGUUUUCCUCCAACAUACCUCUUAUUGUGGAGUUUUCUUCUGUUAUUACUGGCUUUUUAAUCCUGGUGAGUUUUGCUUCAGCGGGAACUCCUCGUUCUCUCGUGGCCUCACAGCUCGCUCUGAGCCAGAGCAAGGUGGCUCUCCUCCACUCCUGAGCCCCCCACGCCUGUGUCUGGCUGCAGGAGCCGCUUCCCAGCUUGUCUGCACACCCAACACUUCAUCAAGCCUGCAGCACUCAGGGCCUGGAGAGCUGGAAUCCUGAAGCAGUAAGAGCCAGACUCUUAGAAACAAGUUAUUGCUGUUGUUUUGGGCAAAAUCAAGUCCCUGUUCCCUGCCUGGGGGGAGAAACAAGCAAGUGAAGUUCAAAAUGGAGGUCACAAAUGUAAAGUUGGCUUUCUUCUCCAUAUUUACACUAUAUUUUUGCUGAUGGAGAUACAUUGGAUUGUUAUGGCAGUCACUUUACAAUGACUGAGUAAAAUACACCUUUAAAA